rnacentral:rRNA from 1 species
AUUGAACGCUGGCGGCAUGCCUUACACAUGCAAGUCGAACGGUAACAGGUCUUCGGAUGCUGACGAGUGGCGAACGGGUGAGUAAUACAUCGGAACGUGCCUAGUAGUGGGGGAUAACUACUCGAAAGAGUGGCUAAUACCGCAUGAGAUCUACGGAUGAAAGCAGGGGAUCGAAAGACCUUGUGCUACUAGAGCGGCCGAUGGCAGAUUAGGUAGUUGGUGGGAUAAAAGCUUACCAAGCCGACGAUCUGUAGCUGGUCUGAGAGGACGAUCAGCCACACUGGGACUGAGACACGGCACAGACUCCUACGGGAGGCAGCAGUGGGGAAUUUUGGACAAUGGGCGAAAGCCUGAUCCAGCAAUGCCGCGUGCAGGAUGAAGGCCUUCGGGUUGUAAACUGCUUUUGUACGGAACGAAAAGCCCUGGGUUAAUACCCUGGGGUCAUGACGGUACCGUAAGAAUAAGCACCGGCUAACUACGUGCCAGCCGCCGCCGUAAGAC